UUGCCAGACUCCUACGGGAGGCAGCAGUGAGGAAUAUUGGUCAAUGGGCGGGAGCCUGAACCAGCCAAGUCGCGUGAGGGAAGACGGUCCUAUGGAUUGUAAACCUCUUUAGGCGGGGAGCAAUGCCGGGCACGUGUGCCCGGAGGGAGAGUACCCGCAGAAUAAGCAUCGGCUAACUCCGUGCCAGCAGCCGCGGUAAUACGGAGGAUGCGAGCGUUAUCCGGAUUUAUUGGGUUUAAAGGGUGCGUAGGCGGACGCUUAAGUCAGCGGUAAAAUUGCGGGGCUCAACCUCGUCGAGCCGUUGAAACUGGGUGCCUUGAGUGGGCGAGAAGUACGCGGAAUGCGUGGUGUAGCGGUGAAAUGCAUAGAUAUCACGCAGAACUCCGAUUGCGAAGGCAGCGUACCGGCGCCCAACUGACGCUGAAGCACGAAGGCGUGGGUAUCGAACAGGAUUAGAUACCCGGGUAAA
rnacentral:rRNA from 1 species